rnacentral:rRNA from 1 species
CCUACGGGAGGCAGCAGUGAGGAAUAUUGGUCAAUGGGCGUAAGCCUGAACCAGCCACGUCGCGUGAGGGAUGAAGGUUCUAUGGAUCGUAAACCUCUUUUAUAAGGGAAUAAAGUGCGGGACGCGUCCCGUGUUGUCUGUACCUUAUGAAUAAGGAUCGGCUAACUCCGUGCCAGCAGCCGCGGUAAUACUGAGGAUCCGAGCGUUAUCCGGAUUUUUUGGGUUUAAGGGGUGCGUAGUCGGACUUUUAAGUCAGCGGUGAAAGUCUGGGGCUCAACCCCGGCGCGCCGUUGAAACUGGCUGGCUUGAGAUGUCGAGAGGUAUGCGGAAUGCGCAGUGGAGCGGUGAAAUGCUUAGAUAUUGCGCAGAACUCCGAUUGCGAAGGCAGCAUACCGGCGGCGAUCUGACGCUGAGGCACGAAAGCGUGGGUAUCGAACAGGAUUAGAUACCCGAGUAGUC